GAUGAAGAACGUAGCGAAAUGCGAUACGUAAUGUGAAUUGCAAAUUCAGUGAAUCAUCGAGUCUUUGAACGCACAUUGCGCCCCCUGGUAUUCCGGGGGGCAUGCCUGUCCGAGCGUCAUUGCUGCCCUCAAGCACGGCUUGUGUGUUGGGCCCCGUCCUCCGAUCCCGGGGGACGGGCCCGAAAGGCAGCGGCGGCACCGCGUCCGGUCCUCGAGCGUAUGGGGCUUUGUCACCCGCUCUGUAGGCCCGGCCGGCGCUUGCCGAUCAACCCAAAUUUUUAUCCAGGUUGACCUCGGAUCAGGUAGGGAUACCCGCUGAACUUAAGCAUAUCAAUAAGCGGGAGGA
rnacentral:misc_RNA from 1 species